GCACAAGCAGCGGAGCGUGUGGUUUAAUUCGAUGCUACACGAAGAACCUUACCAGGGUUUGACAUACAAGUAGUAGGGAAAGGAAACUGGACCGACCUUCGGGGAGCUUGUACAGGUGCUGCAUGGCUGUCGUCAGCUCGUGUCGUGAGAUGUUCGGUUAAGUCCGCUAACGAGCGCAACCCUCGCUGUGUGUUACAAGUGUCACACGGAACUGCCGGUCAUAAACCGGAGGAAGGUGGGGAUGACGUCAAGUCAGCAUGGCCUUUAUAUCCUGGGCUACACACACGCUACAAUGGAUGAUACAACGGGUUGCUAAGGAGCGAUCCGGCGCCAAUCCCCAAAAUCAUCCUCAGUUCAGAUUGUAGGCUGAAACUGCCUGCAUGAAGGCGGAGUUGCUAGUAACCGCAGGUCAGCAUACUGCGGUGAAUACGUUCUCGGGCCUU
rnacentral:rRNA from 1 species